rnacentral:rRNA from 1 species
GAUGAACGCUGGCGGCGUGCCUAAUACAUGCAAGUCGAGCGAACGGACGAGAAGCUUGCUUCUCUGAUGUUAGCGGCGGACGGGUGAGUAACACGUGGAUAACCUACCUAUAAGACUGGGAUAACUUCGGGAAACCGGAGCUAAUACCGGAUAAUAUUUUGAACCGCAUGGUUCAAAAGUGAAAGACGGUCUUGCUGUCACUUAUAGAUGGAUCCGCGCUGCACUAGCUAGUUGGUAAGGUAACGGCUUACCAAGGCAACGAUGCAUAGCCGACCUGAGAGGGUGAUCGGCCACACUGGAACUGAGACACGGUCCAGACUCCUACGGGAGGCAGCAGUAGGGAAUCUUCCGCAAUGGGCGAAAGCCUGACGGAGCAACGCCGCGUGAGUGAUGAAGGUCUUCGGAUCGUAAAACUCUGUUAUUAGGGAAGAACAUAUGUGUAAGUAACUGUGCACAUCUUGACGGUACCUAAUCAGAAAGCCACGGCUAACUACGUGCCAGCAGCCGCGGUAAUACGUAGGUGGCAAGCGUUAUCCGGAAUUAUUGGGCGUAAAGCGCGCGUAGGCGGUUUUUUAAGUCUGAUGUGAAAGCCCACGGCUCAACCGUGGAGGGUCACUGGAAACUGGAAAACUUGAGUGCAGAAGAGGAAAGUGGAAUUCCAUGUGUAGCGGUGAAAUGCGCAGAGAUAUGGAGGAACACCAGUGGCGAAGGCGACUUUCUGGUCUGUAACUGACGCUGAUGUGCGAAAGCGUGGGGAUCAAACAGGAUUAGAUACCCUGGUAGUCCACGCCGUAAACGAUGAGUGCUAAGUGUUAGGGGGUUUCCGCCCCUUAGUGCUGCAGCUAACGCAUUAAGCACUCCGCCUGGGGAGUACGACCGCAAGGUUGAAACUCAAAGGAAUUGACGGGGACCCGCACAAGCGGUGGAGCAUGUGGUUUAAUUCGAAGCAACGCGAAGAACCUUACCAAAUCUUGACAUCCUUUGACAACUCUAGAGAUAGAGCCUUCCCCUUCGGGGGACAAAGUGACAGGUGGUGCAUGGUUGUCGUCAGCUCGUGUCGUGAGAUGUUGGGUUAAGUCCCGCAACGAGCGCAACCCUUAAGCUUAGUUGCCAUCAUUAAGUUGGGCACUCUAAGUUGACUGCCGGUGAUAAACCGGAGGAAGGUGGGGAUGACGUCAAAUCAUCAUGCCCCUUAUGAUUUGGGCUACACACGUGCUACAAUGGACAAUACAAAGGGCAGCGAAACCGCGAGGUCAAGCAAAUCCCAUAAAGUUGUUCUCAGUUCGGAUUGUAGUCUGCAACUCGACUACAUGAAGCUGGAAUCGCUAGUAAUCGUAGAUCAGCAUGCUACGGUGAAUACGUUCCCGGGUCU